GGAUGAACGCUAGCUACAGGCUUAACACAUGCAAGUCGAGGGGCAUCAGGGAGAAAGCUUGCUUCUUGCUGGCGACCGGCGCACGGGUGAGUAACGCGUAUCCAACCUUCCCCCAGUAGGGCAUAGCCGGCGAAAGUCGGAUUAAUACCCUAUGUUCUUCGUAGAGGACAUCUGAAAUGAAGCAAAGGUUUACCGCUAGGGGAUGGGGAUGCGUCCGAUUAGGUUGUUGGCGGGGUAACGGCCCACCAAGCCCGCGAUCGGUAGGGGUUCUGAGAGGAAGGUCCCCCACACUGGUACUGAGACACGGACCAGACUCCUACGGGAGGCAGCAGUGAGGAAUAUUGGUCAAUGGGCGAGAGCCUGAACCAGCCAAGUAGCCGUGCAGGAUGACGGCCCUAUGGGUUGUAAACUGCUUUUAUGCGGGGAUAAAGUGACGUACGUGUACGUUUUUGUAGGUACCGCAUGAAUAAGGACCGGCUAAUUCCGUGCCAGCCGCGGC
rnacentral:rRNA from 1 species